rnacentral:lncRNA from 1 species
AUAGAUAAAGAAAAUACAUAGCUGUUCCAGAAAACAGAAACGGAUAAUUUCAUGAACCAAAAGCAGAGUAAUAUACUUUAGAAAGGAAGCAGGCCGGAAAACCCACAGUUGCAAAGCAAAUAGAAUUUCCAACUGCCUCUUGUAGCCCCUUCCUGGAAGUAGUUAUAGCCCAGGGUGUUCGAUUUCUUCCUCUGUUUUUUGUUUGUUGUUUGCUUUUCUGUGGGGUUUUUGUUGUUGUUGUUUGCUUUUUUUAAAAAAAAAAUUCCCUUUCGCUGCUUUUUUGUCACAUCAGCCUUUGUCACUUCAAACACUGCAAGUGUUCUUUAAAAAGAAUUAUAUCAACCUUUCAAUUAAAAUGCAACAUGUCUGAAACUUGGUAUCUGGAGAGGUGAGAUGGACAAAGGAGCCCUUGUUACUGCAUGUUUUCAUUCUCCAAACUUCACCUUGCACACAGUAGCAGCCAAUACAUAAAGUAAUUUGUUUCCACACUGCAGAAAGAAUCCCAGACUUCUUAGAGAACCCAGUAACUUUUUGCACCUUAAAUCUGUGAAAUCCUCAUGUUUUCUUCUGCCGUAUCCAUAGUUCAAACAAAGAUGAGGCAAAGCUAGAUGCAUU